ensembl:lncRNA
GGACAAUGGUCAAUUCCAUGACAAGGGAGUUGCCACCAUGAACCAGUUAAAAUACAUGGUGUAAAUUCAUAUUUUAGGAAAUGACAUAGGUUAUGUCCUUUGGUGUUAAAGGCAAUUGAAAUUUGAGGUUAAAGCCAAGUCUAUGACACAAAGCCCUUUUGCAAAUGGGAAGACGCUACCAUCACUAACCACACCCCCACCCUUAAUUUCACGUUCGUUUUAUUUCUUAACGGUACCUACCUGUGCAUGAUGCUGGCAUGACUGUCAUGAAUCGUCCAAAAUCAGUUUGGACCUAGGCCGAUGUUGUAACGUCAGACCAAUCCCCGUGCUUAGGAUAAUGACGAUUACUGUAAUGAAAUCCCUACCAACGCAAGUGUCUCGCGUAGCACAAGAGAGCGGAGCAGUGUUGGCGUGUAGACAAUGUCUGUGAAGAAAUGUAGGUGAGCUGGUUAAAAUGAAUCUCAACAAAUAAGAACAAUUAUUUAACAUACAGGAUAAGCUGUCUCACAUGGAGGAGGUCAAAGUCAGUAUGACGAAGCGACCGGACGACUAACCUGUGGAUUACUUGAAAUUUGGAUUUUCAACCCCACGUUUUUUUGUUUUUUUUUGUUUUUGUAAAAAAAAUUGCAACAAUGGCUGCUGUCAAUAGUUCCAACUUAUCCUAUGGAGGAACAAAUUCUUACCAGUAUGGCGUAUACGAAGCGCCGUUCUACAAGGAGUACAAGCCGCCCCCGAGGGACCUCAUCCAGAUUCCUAAAGCAGUGUUGUAUUUAGGGAUGGCUUUAAUAGUGGUCGUCGCUGUGGCUUACGCUAUAGUUGGCCACCUAAUCAAGGACCUUACCCUUGACAUUAUAGACUGUGUUCUGGGCCCUAUUGACGAUGACACCAAGGGAGCCGAUGUUGCCCACACCACUCCUGUUCCUUUCCCUCCCAUCCACACCCACAACGCUUUCCAUGUCUGGGACCAAGACGACGUGGUCAUUCCCCUCUCAUUCCCCGCAGAAGAAAGCCCUCAGGCUAGUCCGAUGCUAACAGUCGUUCCUUACAUCUCUAACUUCUUCCCACACCACCACCACUCUCACGGCAUGACCAACAGCCCAUCGCUUCACUCUUCUCAUCCACUUCCAGGAGACACCAUGAGCUCAAGGGAAGCGGUCUAUGCCUACCCGUGACUAACCCUAUUCCAUUAUCCCCCUGAAGAAUGCUGUGUCACCUUGUGUCACUCCAUGGUUUGCUGUGGGAUUUUCAGACAGGCACACUGUGAUGAUCAAUGUGGAAUUAUUGCAUGUGAAGUCUUGGGAGAAUUGGGACGUCUAUGGCAGUUUUUUUUUUGACAUGCUCUUCUCUGAAAAAUCUAUUUUUUCCCUGAUGUUGAUGUUGUCCUGCCUUGAACUUCUGUAGUUUGUAGAUUUCUUGGAGUUUUUGUUCCAUACAAACAUAACCCUGAUUUAACCAUUGGACCGGUUUUAUUUGAACGACAUGGACCCGACAAACAUGUCUUAAAAGAAUCUUAAACUAAAUGUUUGGACAUUCUUUUUCAGAUACAUCUUGAAAGGCACGUGCCGCUGACUAUUAAAGUCUAUUUCUUGGCCAGGGCUUGCUUGGAGAAGAUACCUGGUCUCAGUGUGACUACCCUGGAUAUAUGAUACAAAUACAAUUAAGAUAAAGAAGCCUAGUAAGAGGACUGCCUGUAUGGAAAUACCUUGUCCUUAGCCACACCCCGAUGAGCAGCCAACCCUGUCAUGUGACGUGGAUGGACUGGACACGAAGUCUUAGCAUCUGUUCGCCAUCACCAUGUCACAUCGGGACCUGAAUUCUCUUCUUUUUUUUUAAAGGACAUUUUGCAACUAUCAUCUUCUAUAAUAUUAUAGAAGGAAAGUAGUAUGGUUGAUUUUCUCAGAUAUAUAAAGUUCUUUGAUUGAGCUAUGGGGCACACUACUAAAUGGUUCUUUUCUGCAAGAGGACACUUCUGAUGAAAUGAUGAACAAGAAAGGUCUUGGGGCUGAAUGUGAAAGAUGAUGUAACCUAUCCCAGCUGUCCUCGCUCUGUCUUUGUCACUCUCCUUGCCUCCUUAGCCUCUGUGUGUGUGUGUGUGUGUGUGUCAAUAAAAAGAAUACUCCUUAGUUUGUGUUCUGAUUC